GCGGGUGUAACUCAAUGGUAGAGUGUCAGCCUUCCAAGCUGAUUACGUGGGUUCGAUUCCCAUCACCCGCU
rfam:Oxobacter pfennigii strain DSM 3222 OXPF_contig000016, whole genome shotgun sequence.